UGGGGAAUCUUCCGCAAUGGACGAAAGUCUGACGGAGCAACGCCGCGUGUAUGAUGAAGGUCUUCGGAUUGUAAAGUACUGUCAUUGGGGAAGAACGGUUUUCUUGAAAAGAUUGAGAAGACAUGACGGUACCCAAGGAGGAAGCCCCGGCUAACUACGUGCCAGCAGCCGCGGUAAUACGUAGGGGGCAAGCGUUGUCCGGAAUUAUUGGGCGUAAAGGGCGCGUAGGCGGGCCUUUAAGUCCGGUGUGAAAGAUCAGGGCUCAACCCUGAGAGUGCAUCGGAAACUGGAGGCCUUGAGGACAGGAGAGGAAAGUGGAAUUCCACGUGUAGCGGUGAAAUGCGUAGAUAUGUGGAGGAACACCAGUGGCGAAGGCGACUUUCUGGACUGUAACUGACGCUGAGGCGCGAAAGCGUGGGGAGCAAACAGGAUUAGAUACCCUGGUAGUCCACGCCGUAAACGAUGAGUGCUAGGUGUAGAGGGUAUCGACCCCUUCUGUGCCGCAGUUAACACAAUAAGCACUCCGCCUGGGGAGUACGGCCGCAAGGUUGAAACUCAAAUGAAUUGAC
rnacentral:rRNA from 1 species